AUUGAACGCUGGCGGCAGGCCUAACACAUGCAAGUCGAACGCGUGGCGGACGUGUGAGUAAUGUGUGGGUCACUGCCUGAGGGAGGGGGAUCACUACUGGAAACGGUAGCUAAUACCGCAUAACCUCAGAUGUGCCCAUAUGGGAUUAGCUAGUGGGUGGGGUAACGGCUCACCAAGGCGACGAUCCCUAGCUGGUCUGAGAGGAUGACCAGCCACACUGGAACUGAGACACGGUCCAGACUCCUACGGGAGGCAGCAGUGGGGAAUAUUGCACAAUGGGCGCAAGCCUGAUACAGCCAUGCCGCGUGUAUGAAGAAGGCCUUAGGGUUGUAAAGUACUUUCAGUGGGGAGGCGUUACCCGCAGAAGAAGCACCGGCUAACUCCGUGCCAGCAGCCGCGGUAAUUC
rnacentral:rRNA from 1 species